GGUUACAAUACACUAAAUACUUUUGGUGUUCAAUGCUAUACCCUCUAAAAACAAAAUCUUCAUUUAUUUGAAGACACAAUUCUCUGUACGGGCACUUGCCAUGACUUUAUUUUUGAAUAUUUCUGUGUUCAUGUGGUAGGGAAAACAUUGUUGUAUACUACAAAUUCCCUGUUUUGCUUUUAGGUUGGAGACUACAUAAGACUUUGACAGUUGGCGGGAAACCAUCAUCAACUGGAGAGAUGCCGGAAGAGGAAUGUCUGCGACUAAGUCAAGGGCCACUGGAUAAGGGUUGUUGAUGGCAAAACAGGUUGGAGACUACAUAAGACUUUGACAGUUGGCGGGAAACCAUCAUCAACUGGAGAGAUGCCGGAAGAGGAAUGUCUGCGACUAAGUCAAGGGCCACUGGAUAAGGGUUGUUGAUGGCAAAACAGGUUGGAGACUACAUAAGACUUUGACAGUUGGCGGGAAACCAUCAUCAACUGGAGAGAUGCCGGUAAAAAGAUGGCCAUAAAACAGUGACCGCUGAUUCGCAUUGAGUUCUUUCUUACAUAUUGGAUGACCUAUGUUUUUUAUUGUUUAAAUCAUUGCGGCUUGGAAUGCUCUUUAAGAAAAGGUAUGGUUAUGGGGGUGUCUACGCGCAAAAGUUUGACUUUAUUUUUUGUUAAAGUUAUUGCUUUUACAUUGAAUUUGUGCAGGAAAUCUUUUGGUAUGUUGUGACCU